rnacentral:tRNA from 1 species
ACCUAGCUGGCUCAGUCAGUGGAGCAUGUGACUCUUGAUCUCGGGGUUGUGAGUUCGAGCCCCAUGUUGGGUG